UAGAAACUACAAUUAGAGUUAGGUGUUCUUUCUCUGGAUCUCAUGAUUGUCUUUAUGGAUGAACUGGUCUGAGAUCCAAGUUGAUUCCUAAGGUCCUCAACCUGUUGGAUCGUGAAUGGUGUAGCUGCAAAGCACUCCCUUGUCUGAUCAACAUAAAUCGCGAUCUGUCUGAAUCCCGUUGUUUGGUGGCUUCCCAAUCUGGAGACAAGCAAUUGGUGGGACUGUUGGAGUUUUUAAUUCACCAUAGGUCUGCCAGCAGAAUGGAUCAUAUAGAUGGUAUUUUUCUUGAACUGGUUGUAACUGAAUAGUGGUUAAAGAAACAUCUACACAAGGAAGACUAUCACUACAGGCAAAGUGAACUGGUUUAACUGUCUUCUUUUAUCGCAGUAGAAUUGGUCAAUCACAAUUGGGAGUUGAACUUCAGAAACCUGUAUAUUUGAGAAUAGUACUCCUUGUACCGAACCUGAUCCACCCUGCAGAUAUGUUACUUAAUUUUAAUGUUUGAGACACAGGCUCGGGUGUUAUCCUUUCCUAGACCUCCAAUACUGAUUCCAUGCCCUGGUCCACAGUUGACAUUGUGUAUGUAUACGUUUGAGCAUCCAGUUUGUAUGGAAAUACAGUCAUCUCCUGCACAACGAUGCAACCAUUUUUGCCCCCAAGUUUUAUCUGUUGAGAACUUUGGCUCAGUUUGUAAAGGAUCAUUGGAUAUGCUAUUUUCUAAUAAAGACAAGAAUAAUGGAAGAUAUACAAGAAGAAUUAAAAGAGUAUAGUAUACAAUUGGAUGAUUCAGUGUGGAUUUUGGGCUUGACACGUGCCAUGUAAUUAUGACUGAUUUUUAAAGCAUUGGGAGAUUGUCUGUUGCUAUGUGUCCAACAUGUGUGGGGAUAGGAUAAGAUAAUGUCUUGCCCCUUUGAGGUUCAUAUAACAUGCAUCCAAGCUUUGUUUUUCUCUUUUUUUCUUUUGUUUUCAAUUUUUAUUUUCACUUUCUUUUUUGUCCCUAUCUACAACAUUGACUUUUUUAUUACUCCAUGCUCAAACUUAGCUUAUAGCCUCUGUUG